UAGGGAAUCUUCGGCAAUGGACGAAAGUCUGACCGAGCAACGCCGCGUGAGUGAAGAAGGUUUUCGGAUCGUAAAACUCUGUUGUUAGAGAAGAACAAGGACGUUAGUAACUGAACGUCCCCUGACGGUAUCUAACCAGAAAGCCACGGCUAACUACGUGCCAGCAGCCGCGGUAAUACGUAGGUGGCAAGCGUUGUCCGGAUUUAUUGGGCGUAAAGCGAGCGCAGGCGGUUUCUUAAGUCUGAUGUGAAAGCCCCCGGCUCAACCGGGGAGGGUCAUUGGAAACUGGGAGGCUUGAGUGCAGAAGAGGAGAGUGGAAUUCCAUGUGUAGCGGUGAAAUGCGUAGAUAUAUGGAGGAACACCAGUGGCGAAGGCGGCUCUCUGGUCUGUAACUGACGCUGAGGCUAGAAAGCGUGGGGAGCAAACAGG
rnacentral:rRNA from 1 species